GAUGAAGAACGUAGCGAAAUGCGAUAAUUAAUGUGAAUUGCAGAAUUCCGUGAAUCAUCGAGUCUUUGAACACACAUUGCGCCUCAUGGCAUUCCGUGAGGCAUGCCCAUCUCAGCGUUAGAAAAUAUUCUCAAAUUUUAGUUUUGUGCUAAAAUUUGGAUCAUGUCAAGGAAGCUAUUACUAUUAUUGUGAUCGCUCUUUGGAAAUUGAUAGGUCUUUGAGUUGCUACUCAUAGAACGUGAUGAAUCUUUCUUCGUUCUAUUGUAAUUCACUCUGGUAGUCCUAAAACUUGUAUGCCUGUGGCAUAUCUUGUAAUUUGACCUGAGAUUGGGUAGGGAUACCCGCUGAACUUAAGCAUAUCAAUAAGCGGAGGA
rnacentral:misc_RNA from 1 species